rnacentral:rRNA from 1 species
AUUCCAGCUCCAAUAGCGUAUAUUAAAGUUGUUGCGGUUAAAAAGCUCGUAGUUGGAUUUCUGCUGAGGACGACCGGUCCGCCCUCUGGGUGAGUAUCUGGCUCGGCCUUGGCAUCUUCUUGGGGAACGUAACUGCACUUGACUGUGUGGUGCGGUAUCCAGGACUUUUACUUUGAGGAAAUUAGAGUGUUUCAAGCAGGCGCACGCCUUGAAUACAUUAGCAUGGAAUAAUAAGAUAGGACCUUGGUUCUAUUUUGUUGGUUUCUAGAGCUGAGGUAAUGAUUAAUAGGGAUAGUUGGGGGUAUUCGUAUUCCGUUGUCAGAGGUGAAAUUCUUGGAUUUACGGAAGACGAACGACUGCAAAAGCAUUUACCAAGGAUGUUUUCAUCA